CUGCGAGUGAAGCGGGAAAAGCUCAAAUUUAAAAUCUGGCGGUCUUUGGCCGUCCGAGUUGUAAUCUAGAGAAGUGCUAUCCGCGCUGGACCGUGUACAAGUCUCCUGGAAUGGAGCGUCAUAGAGGGUGAGAAUCCCGUCUUUGACACGGACUACCAGGGCUUUGUGAUGUGCUCUCAAAGAGUCGAGUUGUUUGGGAAUGCAGCUCAAAAUGGGUGGUAAAUUCCAUCUAAAGCUAAAUAUUGGCGAGAGACCGAUAGCGAACAAGUACCGUGAGGGAAAGAUGAAAAGAACUUUGGAAAGAGAGUUAAACAGUACGUGAAAUUGCUGAAAGGGAAACGCUUGAAGUCAGUCGCGUUGGCCAGGGAUCAACCUUGCUUUUGCUGGGUGUACUUUCUGGUUGACGGGUCAGCAUCAAUUUUGAUCGUUGGAUAAAGUCUGUGGGAAUGUGGCUUCUUCGGAAGUGUUAUAGCCCAUGGUCGCAUACAACGGUUGGGAUUGAGGAACUCAGCACGCCGCAAGGCCGGGUACUUGUACCACGUUCGUGCUUAGGAUGCUGGCAUAAUGGCUUUAAUCGACCCGUCUUGA
rnacentral:misc_RNA from 1 species